UGAGCCUGGCUGCUCUUGGUGUCCCU
rnacentral:piRNA from 1 species